GAAAGGAAUUGCACACGAGGUUUGCUGUUGAAUAAUUUGCCUGCAUUGCUGCAGUGAGCAGGUGCAUGAUCUCCCCUUCGUCUCAGUUCCUAAACCAGGUGCGGAACUCUGAACUGAAGACAUGAAGACCCAGUAAAGUACACCAGGAAGUGUGGCAAUGAGAAAUGAAGAGGACUGUGUGACACGCCAUGGACCAGAGCAUGCAGGUGUGCAGAGGUGUGGACCCAACGCUGCCAUGUGGGAUGGAGCCUCAUGUCUAAGUGUGGGAAAAGAGGCAGAUCCAACCAAGGAAAGUCAACAUUAAUGGAGAGGAAAGGUAUCACAUUUUAAUGGUUCUCCAUGGAUCACCCCAGAAAAUGUCCCUGCACUCGGACAUUGAUUCCUUCCUCUGGAAAUGACCAGCAGACAGUCCAGAUAGCAUCGGCCCUAGAUUUUCUUCCAGAACCUCCUGGGAUCAUCAGAUCUGUUCCUGAGGCUUCACGACUCUAUAAAGUACAUUAUCCUCUCUGCUGUUCACCUCCCGGCUGCAUCUUGGGAAGCUUCUCUGGCUGUGCCAAGCCUCAAAUGACAGAAUCCCGAGGACCACCAGGAUCAAGCCAGCCACGCCCAUGUGGAUGAGAUUCUCCACUGCGUAAUCCUGAAGGUGUGAGGCUGGGGAUGGUGGACAAAGAGGUCACAGAGGUCAGGGUGGAUCAGAUUGUCCACCCAGGGCACCCACCUCCCCUUCACAGGACCCAACCCUCAGUGCCAGCCCCAUCACUGAGAGUAUCUCCUCACAUACCAGUCUCAGAGUCAGACUUGUUUUGUGAUGGGCUGAGGGUAUCAGCUGCUCCAGAGAAUCAAAACAGAGAAAAAGAGACCUGAGCCCAGCCUCUCACCUGGGCUCUGCAAUUUUUUUUUUAUUACUUAAUGUCUCAUGAUGUGACUUUUACAGAAUUUCUAAAAAAAAAAAAAAAAAACCUCUUCCUCCGCUAGCAGGAUUCCCUCUAGUCUCCUCAUUGAACGAUUUCAGUUUUCCUGUGUUCUAUGGAUUUAAACAUUGCUCCUGAGUCAUCUGGGAGAGAGUUUUCCUGCAUCCUGAGAGCUCAGGAUCUGCAAGGAAAGUGGUCCCCAGUACAGAGGUCACUAAGGCCUGUGUGCUCUCUGUGCAGCCUGGGACACAGGAGAACAUGAGCCAACUCCCCCGGAGAUGAGAGUUUCACGGAUCCACCAGCUGAGGACCCAGGCUCCGUGGAUGAGGGUUAGUCAUCAGGGGAGCCUCAAUGUCAGAAGCACAAAGGGGUGAAAUUCUGGGGCUGCCUCCCCUUCAUGCCCUCAGCCACUUCACCUGGAGUUUCAUUGUCCAUUUAAUCUCUAGGUAGCUAAUUAUUCGUAUAGGCAGCAACAGGUAGAAUGUGAUACACACACAGAAAAACACAAACACAAAUAUAUAUCUGUUUUAUAUAUAUAGUGGGCCUUAAAAACUAUCUCUGCCUUCUUGAAGUGUGGGUUCACCUGGAGACAAACAGCAAACAUAUAGAAACACAGCAGUGGAAAUUUACUAGUCGUAGCAAUGGUUUUAGAUAUAUUGGUAGAGACCUAUAUUUAU
rnacentral:lncRNA from 1 species